AUGAACGCUAGCUACAGGCUUAACACAUGCAAGUCGAGGGGCAGCAUUUUAGUUUGCUUGCAAACUAAAGAUGGCGACCGGCGCACGGGUGAGUAACACGUAUCCAACCUGCCGAUAACUCGGGGAUAGCCUUUCGAAAGAAAGAUUAAUAUCCGAUGGUAUAUUAAAACCGCAUGGUUUUACUAUUAAAGAAUUUCGGUUAUCGAUGGGGAUGCGUUCCAUUAGUUUGUUGGCGGGGUAACGGCCCACCAAGACUACGAUGGAUAGGGGUUCUGAGAGGAAGGUCCCCCACAUUGGAACUGAGACACGGUCCAAACUCCUACGGGAGGCAGCAGUGAGGAAUAUUGGUCAAUGGACGAGAGUCUGAACCAGCCAAGUAGCGUGAAGGAUGACUGCCCUAUGGGUUGUAAACUUCUUUUAUAUGGGAAUAAAGUAUUCCACGUGUGGGAUUUUGUAUGUCCAUAGAAUAGAUCGGCACC
rnacentral:rRNA from 1 species